GACGAACCGUACAAACGUUAUUCGGAAUUACUGGGCUUAAAGGGUGCGUAGGCGGCUUGGCAAGUCGGAUGUGAAAUCCCUCGGCUCAACCAAGGAAGUGCAUCCGAAACUGCCGAGCUUGAGUACUUAAGAGGAUCGCGGAAUUCCCGGUGUAGAGGUGAAAUUCGUAGAUAUCGGGAGGAACACCAGUGGCGAAGGCGGCGAUCUGGGAAGAUACUGACGCUGAGGUGCGAAAGCGUGGGGAGCAAACAGG
rnacentral:rRNA from 1 species